GAAUGGAUGGCUCAGCGGUCAGAGCCUAGGGCUCGUAACCGAGAUGUUCCGUGUUCGAACCUCGCAAGAGGCA
rnacentral:tRNA from 1 species